CAAUUCAAGAAUCAGAGGUGAUUUGCUCUUGAUGGGAGACAUGAACUAUUAUAUCAUCAGUUGAACCUGCUUUUAGCCACUGAGCAGAGGUGCAAUGUCCUGUUUCAAGGAUGCUGUGAACAGCUCACAUAUUCCUCCUCCCCAGGAUGAAAGUAUUCAUUUCUGCAGCUUGAGGAAUGUAGCUGCUCACAGAUGAGUUCCUCAAGUAUUUCCUUCUGUUUGCUGAACGAAGCUGUCUUGCUCAAGGUUACAUCUGCUCAAAUGGUACUUCAUUUGUCAACAUGAAGAAUACUUCUGCUAUAGGCCAACCAAUCUCUGAACUAUCAACUGGACUCUGGCCUUACACAACCUUACACAAUUCUUGGGAACCAUGGGAAGCUUAUAAGAAGUGAACCAGAGGAAUUACUUUUCUGUAGCCCACUUUGGCUCUCUGCAAAACAAUAAGAUCCAAUACACCAACUGUGAUGGUUAAUACUGUCAACUUGAUUGGAUUGAACAAUGCAAAGUAUUGAUCCUGGGUGUGUCUGUGUGGGUGUUGCCAAAGGAGAUUAACAUUUGAGUCAGUGGGUUGGGGAAGGCAGACCCACCCUUAACCUGGUGGGCACAGUCUAAUCAGCUGCCAGUGAAUAUGAAGCAGGAAGAAGACAGUGAAAAGGUGAGACUGGCCUGGCCUCCCAGCCUACAUCUUUCUCCCAUGCUGGAUGCUUCCUGUCCUCAAACACUGGACUCCACGUUCUUCAGUUUUGAGACUUGAACUGGCUCUCCUUGCUCCUCAAGCUUGCAGACAGCCUAUUGUGGGAACUUGUGAUUGUGUAAAUGAAUAUACAAUAAAUUCCCCUUUAUAUAUAUAUAUAUAUAUAUAUAUAUAUAUAUAUAUAUAUAUAUCCUGUUAGUUCUGUCCCUCUAGGGAACCCUGACUAAUACACCAACACAGCAUCUUAACUCUAGGCGAAAAAAGAUAACCUGGCAAGAUGAAAGGCUCUUAAGCCUCUGUUAAAACCUUUAUGCUUGCUAUUACAUAUUGGCUUCCAAGGUGGCCCCACAGGAUCCCAACUCCUUCGUUGUCAUGGCCUACCUAGCUCCCACCACAUUGGAUAGAUCUCAUUUAUGUAUUCAACAGAAUAUUGAGAAUAUUGAGUGUGACUGUCAAGACCAGAUGAUAAAGGACAUUGUGGCAUCUUUGUUACUCGGAUUCUUGGAUUGCUUAGUUUGUGAGAACCUAGCUGCCAUGUUGCAAGGACACUCAUGCAGUACUAUAAAGAGGUCCAUAUGGAGAGAAAGUGAAGCCUCCGCCAACAGCCAGUGAAGACAACAGACAGCAGCUAUGUCGAAUGAGCUAUUUUGGAAGUAAAUUCUCCAGGCCUUGCCAAGCCUUCAGAUGAACAUAAGCCCAGCUGACAUCUUGAUUGUAACCUCCGGAGAGACUCACUGCCAGAAUCACCAGACUAAACUGCCCCAGAUUCCUGACGCUCUCAACUCUGUGAGAUAAUAAAUGUUUCUUGUUUUAAUUAGUUAAUUGGGGUAAUUUGUUAUGCAGCAAUAAGUAACUAGUACACUUACUAAGGGCCUUUAAUCUUUUAUUUUUAAAAAAGCAUCUUGUCAUCACUACUCUACCAUAGAUGCACGCAUGCACAGGCACACACCCUCAUAUGUACUUGUACAUAUACCAAUGGAAAACAUAUCCUAAAACUUAUUUUUUCUACCCCAAAUGCACUCAGUAAGAAAAUAUUCACAUUUUCUCUAAAUAACUCCAAGUUAAUUUUACUGCAUAUUAAAAAUUGCUUAACUUUAGAAUAUCUUAAAAUUAUUGCAUCUAAAAAGUCAAG
rnacentral:lncRNA from 10 species